CCAUGCCGCACGCCCUUUAUUUUUCUCUCCUUUCUUCACGCCAAUGUUUCUCCAAAUUCACCGUGUGAUAUGAUAAGAGGCGGCCCCUUUUAUCCCUAAAAACUAAGGUUAGUUAGGGUUUGUUGAAAUCCUUAAAAGAGAAGGACUCCUCUCUUGCUGCCCCAUGCUUUGUUUUAACAUUGAUUCUUCAUUUUUUUUUUCACACCUUAGAGCUCUUUUUCACCAUGAGACAUCACCUAAGAGGCACCCCGUAUUAUCCCUAACAAUUAGGGAUUAGUUAGGGUAGGGUUUGUUAAGAGUCUUUGGUAGAGGACUCCCAUUAUUGCACCUCAUACUUAUUGGUGCCAACCCUCUUUGCGCCCCUUAGUUCUAUAGUAAAAAACAUCUUGGGCAUCCCAUGUGUGAAGCAUGGAUAAGGUGAGAGUCCCAAUUUAAUAGGACUCUAGUUUUCUAUUUUAAUUCCAACCUGAUUCAAAUCUGAUUUGAAUCCAGUUUGAGUCAAACCUAAUUAAAAAUUAAGUCCAAAUCCUAUUUAGACAAGAAAAUUCAAAUUAAACUAAAUCCAAUUAGAUCCAAUAUGAUUUAAUUCAGCUCAUAUUUGAUUAAAUAAAAUAAAUAGUAACUUUUAUAAAUUAGUCCUCCUGUAACUUUUAUAUGUUGUCCAAUUAUCAAUCAAAUUGAUAAUAGAAUUUUAUUGUGAUUCAAAAUCACUAUUUGACAUCCGUAUC
rnacentral:lncRNA from 1 species